rnacentral:rRNA from 1 species
GACGAACGCUGGCGGCGUGCCUAAUACAUGCAAGUCGAGCGGACCAAAGGGAGCUUGCUCCUGGAGGUUAGCGGCGAACGGGUGAGUAACACGUGGGCAACCUGCCUGUAAGACUGGGAUAACAUCGAGAAAUCGGUGCUAAUACCGGAUAAUAAAAAGAACUGCAUGGUUCUUUUUUGAAAGAUGGUUUCGGCUAUCACUUACAGAUGGGCCCGCGGCGCAUUAGCUAGUUGGUGAGGUAACGGCUCACCAAGGCGACGAUGCGUAGCCGACCUGAGAGGGUGAUCGGCCACACUGGGACUGAGACACGGCCCAGACUCCUACGGGAGGCAGCAGUAGGGAAUCUUCCGCAAUGGACGAAAGUCUGACGGAGCAACGCCGCGUGAGUGAUGAAGGUUUUCGGAUCGUAAAACUCUGUUGUUAGGGAAGAACAAGUGCCGUUCGAAAGGGCGGCACCUUGACGGUACCUAACGACGAAAGACCACGGCGUAACUACGUGCCAGCAGCCGCGGUAAG